UACGUAGGUGGCGAGCGUUGUCCGGAAUUACUGGGCGUAAAGGGCGCGUAGGCGGCUCUUUAAGUUAGAUGUGAAAACCCGGGGCUUAACUCCGGGAGUGCAUUUAAAACUGAAGGGCUUGAGUGCAGGAGAGGUAAGUGGAAUUCCUAGUGUAGCGGUGAAAUGCGUAGAUAUUAGGAGGAACACCAGUGGCGAAGGCGACUUACUGGACUGUAACUGACGCUGAGGCGCGAAAGCGUGGGGAGCAAACAGGAUUAGAUACCCGGGUAGUCC
rnacentral:rRNA from 1 species